rnacentral:rRNA from 1 species
AAACGGCUACCACUUCCAAGGAAGGCAGCAGGCGCGCAACUUACCCUAAUCUCGAUUCGAGGAGGUAGUGACAAGAAAUACCGAUGCGGGACCCUACGGGUGCCGCGUUCGGAAUGAGUACGAUUCGAACCACCUAACGAGGAACGAUCGGAGGGCAAGUCUGGUGCCAGCAGCCGCGGUAAUUCCAGCUCCAAUAGCGUACGUUAAAGUUGCUGCAGUUAAAAAGCUCGUAGUUGAACGUUCGGGUUCCGCGGGACGGGGCCGCCCCGCGAGGGACGGCGCCGCCCCGGGGCUCGUGAUAUCUCAUCUCGCCGCCCGUCGCGAGGCGGACGGAGGGAUGGAUGAGGUUACCUGGAAAAAAUCGGGGCGAUCUAGGCGGGCGAACCUCGCCAACGAACGAUCGGACAUGGGAUAACGGG